rnacentral:sRNA from 1 species
CUUAAGCAGAAAAUAAAACGAAACUAGAAACACCGAAAUCAUGAGUUGAUAUGUUUGGAAUUGCUAAGUUACUGGAUAAUGGUCAAUAAACCAGAAAUCUGACAGAAUGAUAUCCAACAAAGAAAUCAAAGGGUACUCGAAAGUAGAUCUAGAACACUUUGAAAAUCUGGAUGUUCCGCAAAUCUUUGAAAGGCCAUUAUGGUCAAAUAGCCGCUUUCGAGAAACAAGACUAGAUUUUGAGGAACCUAAAAAAUCUAUUUUAUUUUUGCGAAUAUACUCUAAAAUUGUCACCUACGACUAUCCACAACUUCAGAUAAAAACCAAUAAAGUUCUUUCUGAAAUCGCAAGCGAUAAUUAUUUCUCAAAAUUGAUUGGAUUUCUAUAUAGAAUAGAAGUAGCAUCAACAUCGGAUGUGGAGGAAUGGAUCGAGACUAUAGAAAAUAUACUGAGUAUUCUACAUCAGCUAUGGAUAAAGAUUCCCACUACUGCGUUGAGUUCCCUUGGUUUGUGUUCGUGCUUAAUUUCUGUCCUUCCGAGACUUAUUUCAGCAAGCAGCGAUGAAAGAUUAAACGAUUGUCUGCUUUCCAUUCAAACAAACGUUACAGAUCUCCGAAAAAACAUAUCAGAGAAACUGAUCAGACCUGAAAUUGAAAAAAGAAAGCAAAAAUCUGAUAAAAGAAAACCUCCAGACGAUUUCCGGAAGAUUCCAAUUCUUCCUACAAGGAAUGAUAUUUUUGAAGAACCGUUUUUGAGGGAAAAUUUAACAAUGGGUUCAUACGAGAACUUAGACCACUAUUUAGACGUCCAGUUUAGACUUUUGAGAGAGGAUUGCAUAGCACAGUUGCGAAACGGUAUAUUUGAGUACAUUGAGACAAAAGCAAUGCACGCAGACAGAGAAAUACGAAAAUUACAGGAUGUAAAACUUUACAAAAACGUAGUUGUUGUUUCAAAAGAACCAUUCAUUGAAGAUCCAAUUUACCAGCUCCGAUUAGACAGCAGACAAGUCAGUCGCAUUAGAUGGGAGAGAACUAAGAGAUUACUCUAUGGUUCGCUUUUGUGCUUGUCGCCAGAUAAUUUUGACACACUUUAUUUUGCUGUGAUAGAAAAUAUUGAUUACGAUGAAAUAAAAAAAAGUUGCACCUUCAAAGUCAGCAUGAGAAAAGGGAAGGGUCAGUGUGAGGUUCAGUCGGGUAUACCAAUGACAAUGGUUGAAAGCACUGCUUAUUUCGAGUCCUACAGACAUGUUUUGUCUUCUUUGCAAACUAUAACAGAAGAAAAUCUGCCUUUUCAGAGAUACAUAGUGCAGGGUUGUAAGGAUAUUAAUCCUCCAAAAUAUGUGGAAGGAAACAUUCAUUUUGCGUUUGAUUUUGGACCAAUUAUCAAACAGAAUUCUAUUUUUCAAAAAUCUCAAAACCGAUGUCGUAAAUAUCCUUGUGAAAUAUUGUCUGACGACUGGCCCUCAGCAGAUGAAUUACAUGUGGAUGAAUCACAGUUAAAGGCGUUGAAAUUUGCUUUAACCAAAGAAUUUGUUAUAAUUCAAGGCCCUCCUGGAACAGGAAAGACGCACAUAGGCCUAGAGAUUGCCAAAGUUUUGUUGCAUAACCAACAGCAUUGGAUGAAAAAAGAUAAAAUUAACCAACAGAUUCGAAUUAGACAGUGGUUAAAAAUUGACAGAGAUUCGUUACGACAACGUGCAUUUAAAGAUUAUGAACAGUAUGAAGUUGCAAAAUCAAAAUGGGGUCAUGAGAAAACUGUGCAAGAAGAGUCGGAAAAAAUACGAAUAGAAACAGAAGCUAUGUUCAUCAACAAUGAAAGACAUGUAGAAGACGACGACUAUGAAGUGGAUAUGAUAUUUUCAGAGAUUGGAUACAAUAUUGAUUCGAUUGUAGAAUCCAUAGCAAAAGGAGUUCAACUUGACGACACGUUUGAAAUGCUGUUGAAAGAGCAUGCAAAUAGGGCAAAAAUGAAACUUCUGGAUAAGGAUGUUAUGACACCACACGAGUUUCAAAAGGUAAUUAAGAAACCAUCUAAACUGCCAAUAGACCAAAGAUGGCGAAUGUACAGAUAUUUUAUGCAACUGUUUCGUGAGAAAGGAAAAACUCUUCUUGAUGAAGAGGAACAAAAUUUUAUGAAAUUGCAUGAAUCAUAUUUAAGAGAAAAGCAAAAAGUUGAUCGCGAAAUAUUGUUGCGUUCCACAAUUAUUGCUAUGACCACAUCAGGGGCAGCUAGAUAUCAAGAUGUUUUAAAGGAAGUUGGGCCUCGGAUAAUCAUUGUUGAGGAAGCUGCUGAAGUUUUGGAGGCACAUAUUAUUGCUACUCUUAAUCCAAGAUGCGAACAUCUUAUUUUGAUCGGUGACCAUAAGCAAUUGGAACCAAAGCCUGCUGUAUUCGAGCUGGCAGAAAAAUAUAACUUAGCUUUAUCAAUGUUUGAGAGAAUGAUCAAUCUUGGUUUGCCAUACGUAUGCCUUGAAAGACAACAUAGGAUGCGCCCUGAAAUAUCACAGUUGGUUCGUCCGGUGUAUGAAAGACUUAUUGAUAACGAAAAUGUGUUAGAAUAUGAGCUUGUCAAAGGAAUUGAAAAAAAUGUAUAUUUCAUUACACACAAAGAAGAGGAAUCGACAAAGGAAGAGACUCAAAGCUACUGGAACAAUUAUGAAGCCUAUUAUAUUCAGUGCCUAACACGUUAUCUUUUGAAGCAAGGGUACGCUGCAACACAAAUAACUAUUCUUACACCAUAUUCAGGACAAAUGUUUCUUUUACGAGAUUUAAUGCCAAGGAAAGAAUUUGAUAAUUUAAAUAUUUCUAUUCUUGAUAAUUAUCAAGGAGAGGAGAAUGAUAUAAUUUUGUUGUCACUCGUCCGUAGUAACAAGGAGGGCAAAAUUGGUUUCCUGAAUAGAGAAAAUCGAGUGUGUGUGGCAUUAUCAAGGGCAAAAAUGGGCCUGUACGUAAUUGGAAAUUUCGACAAUAUACGAAAGUUUUCAAGAAAAUGCAGAUUAUGGGGGAAAGCUAUAAAAACUAUGGAUGAGAUGGGGGCACUUGGAAGAGGACUUCCACUCUUUUGUGCAAUUCAUUUCUCUCGUAUUCAAGCCGUGAGCCAUUCAGACUUUAAGAAGUGUCCAGAAGGAGGGUGUUCUCUUCUUUGUGACAUAAAAAAGGACUGUGGGCAUGCAUGUCCAUUAUUUUGUCACCCAAGAGAUCCUAAACAUAAAAACAUAGAAUGCGAAAGUUUUUGUUUGAAACAGUGUGAACUCAAUCAUUCGUGUCAAAAAAGAUGUCAUUUUCCUACAGAUUGCAUGUGCGAUAUCAAAGUAGAAAAAAUUCUUCCUUGUCAGCAUAAGAAAAUCCUUUCAUGUUGCACUGCUCCUGAAACAAUAUCCUGCAAGGAACAAGUUACCAAAGAAUUACCAUGUGGUCAUAAAGGUAAAAUGCUUUGCUGUGACAACCCUCUUGAUUUCACAUGUAAUGAACUGGUGAACAGAACUUUAGAUUGUGGGCAUAGUAAAGACCUUCCUUGCCAUGUCAAAGUCAAGUCUUACAAAUGUAAGGUAUUGAUGAAGAAAACACUUCCAUGUGAACACGAAGCAGAUAUGUACUGCUGGAAAAGUCCAACUCUCCAGAAAUGUGAAACACUUAGUAACAGAAUGUUAAAAUGUAAUCACGAAAAAAUGUUGGCCUGCCAUAUAGAUAUCGCUUCCUACAAAUGCAUUGAGAAUGUUGUUAAAAUAUUGCAGUGUGGCCAUGAACUUGAUAUGCCAUGUCAUGAAGACAUAAACUCCAUUGUAUGCAAAGAGAGAAUCACAGAGAAACGAACAAUAAGUAUAACCUCAAAAACUCCUAAUAGCUACAUGUAUUCUAAUGUUUCUAAGAUAACAUGCGAAGAACCUGUGGAUAAGAUCUUCAAAUGUGGUCAUACUAAAACGCUACCCUGUCAUAUAGAUAUAAAUGAAACCUAUACUUUGUGUGAAGAGAAAGUAAACAAAGAAUUAAAAUGCAAACACUUUCUUGAUCUUCCUUGCUACGUCAACCCUGAUGACUCAAGCAUAAAAUGUUUUGAGAAAAUGAAGAAAACGAUUCCCUGGUGUGGACACACAGCAUUCAUAAGCUGUUGUAAAAAUCCAGAAGAGGAAGAUUGUCUUGAAAAAGUCAGUGUAGUUCGACCAGAUUGUGGACAUGAAGCAAAUAUACCGUGUUACCUUAAUAAACAGUUAAAACUUGGUUUCACAAAAAAAGUAGGACUACCAGCAUGCAAAACCCCCGUACCUGUAAGGGGGUGGAUGAACACAGCCAAUUUAUUUCCAAGACUGAUUGCUAUGGUGGAUAUUCACAGUGGAUCGUGGAGAACGUGUAAAAUCGGUCAUCAAUACAGUUGUGUGAAUGGCCAGGGCAGCUGCCUUACUUGUUAUGGGCUUGAUCGGAUUUCACCACAAGAUUUUCAAAUACCACGAAAACCUGAUACCGAAAACCACAACGCUAGAUAUAGAGGACAAGGUGCGAGACCGAAAGACCCAAGAAAUUCAAAGAAAGAUGAACCUUACUCCAGUAAUCAGAGAGCUCACCAGCAGGAUCGAAGGAGAAACAAAAUAAUAAAUGGACGCCAUUUUAUGAUACCGGAUUCACCCACCCGAAUGGGGCGACCGGUAAAACAAAUCAGAACGAAAUGGAAGGAAAGGGCCAUUCAAAACGAUGUUUACAAGUGCUGUUUCUCCUUUGUUGCAAACAUCUGGUAAUAUACCCCAUAUCAGAAUCCGAUUCCGCAGUGGAUUUGGCAGGGGCGCGGCAUAAUAGCAGACGUUCAAAACACUAGUGGUGGUCAAAUGAAUUAUAGAGGAAUGGCGCCUGAAGGAUACGUGCAACAGGGUUAUCACGAGAAUAGGCCUAAUGAAUCUAGGAACUGGUGGUUUGAACCAAAAUAUAAACCAGUCACGUGGAAGAGGUACUAAAGGUGGAAGAGGUACAAGAGGUGGAAGAGGUCCUCGAAGGGGUGGACGAAGAGGAAGACGAUAAACAUCUCGAUCGUUUUGGAGUCAUUACUUUCAUUUUAUGAGAAAUUCUAAUUAUCUUUGAAGAAGCAAAAUGCUAUAUAUCUUUUUUAAUUGAUUUACUAUAUUACAUGUAUUUGUAUUAUCUGAUGCGUAUUCUUUGUAAGAACGAAUAUUAUUUGAAAGAAGUGAUGGGCA